CUGGGUUCAAGUUGGACCGGACUAGUUAGACGGCCGCCUCUGUCUUCACCGCUGGAGCUUCUUACUGUGCCCAGACUCUCGCACACCACCGGCUGGCUGUACUUCAAAACUUAAGGAUAUCAACAAAAGAGAAAGGCCUGGAACAGGAUUUGUUGGGACGCCGGGCCCCAUUUGAAUCGAUUCCUCCGUCCCUUUCUCACAUCCUCCCCAGAUUCCUCUCCCGACAUGACGCCUCGACUGGCAUUGGUGAACUCUGCAUUGAUCAGGCUGUACAGAGCAGCUCGCUUUUGAUUCUUCAUGGGUGUGCCCUUGUUAAGGUGCUGGGAGAGAUGGGAUUGGUUGAGGCCUGUGGACUCCACCACCUCUCUCUGUGUGGUAGCCCACUUGACAACAGCGAUAAACCCGUCUGACGAAUCUGAAGAGGGGCUGUUCCGGGAAAACGGCACGACGCGGAGCGUCGCUCAUCGUCGACAGUAUCUUCAGACGGUACAUCUGGC